rnacentral:rRNA from 1 species
GACGAACGCUGGCGGCGUGCUUAACACAUGCAAGUCGAGCGGUAAGGCCCUUUUGGGGGUACACGAGCGGCGAACGGGUGAGUAACACGUGGGUGACCUGCCCUCAGCUCUGGGAUAAGCCUGGGAAACUGGGCCUAAUACUGGAUAUGACCUUUCCUCGCAUGGGGUUGGGUGAAAGUUUUUCGGCUGGGAUGGCCCGCGGCCUACCAGCUUGUUGGUGGGGUGAUGGCCUACCAAGGCGACGACGGGUAGCCGGCCUGAGAGGGCGACCGGCCACACUGGGACUGAGACACGGCCCAGACUCCUACGGGAGGCAGCAGUGGGGAAUAUUGCGCAAUGGGCGGAAGCCUGACGCAGCGACGCCGCGUGGGGGAUGACGGCC